GGGCAUGGGGGUGGCGAAAGGGAUGGUGUUGCAUCCGUUCUGAACAGGCACAGACUUUCAUACUGUCAUUCCCUAAACAAUGUAACAACUAUUUACAUAGCAUUUACAUUUUAUUAGGAAUUAUAAGUAAUCUAGAGAUGAUUUAAAGUAUAGGGGAGGAUGUGUGUAGAUUAUAUGAAAAUACUUCACCAUUUUAUAUCAGGGACUUCAGCAUCCUUGGAUUUUGGUAUGGGGGAAAAUCCAGGAUCCAAUCCCCCAUGGAUACCAAGGGAUGACUGUACUUAUCUUGGGCUCACGUGUCAUCUGUAAAGCAUAAUGACUAAUUUGAAAGAAAGAUGGUUUCAAAGUACAAGCAAUGGAAGGUACGUAGGGCAUGUGGCUUCAUAUAUACUUCUUUCCCCUUCUCCACAAUUUUACUUUUUUAGGUCAGUGUUGUGCUAUAAUGACGGGAAUGUAUCAUGGAUGUAGGAAAGGGGAAAAUGCUGGUUGACUCUGUUUUGCUGUGGGGAAUUCCAGACAAAUACAUAGGUACAAGAGGAGUGCUGUCCUCCACCUGUCAGAUAAACUGGCUUAUGCUCUGCUCUCAAGCUUGAAAUAAUCUGAACAGUGGGUCCACAGGGUGCUAGUUUUAGAAUAGUGACAUCUGUGUUAAGAGGAAUGGCUGAAAGCAGAGACAAUGGCUAGUUGAAUGGAAAAACACCAGGUCUCAAGUUACCUGUAACUUGGGUAGAGACAUGUCAUCCAGGAGCUGGGCACCCUAACCUAUGCUUUAAUGCCUACACACAUACUGAAGCAUGUAAUUUUACACAAAGGAAUCACUGAAACUAUUGAUUGGAUGUGAGUAAAUUUCACAAGGACAAGAAACCAGUCUCCUCUUUUUAACCUUCAUUCAAGAUAAGCAAAUAUCAGGUUAAUAGGACUAUAGUUAAGUUCAGGACUGACAUUUGGCAAACAAUUUUAGAUUUGAUCUCUCUAGGCCAUAAAGACAAUCCAUGAUGAAAUUCAUAUUCAUUCAGUGGGUUUCAAAACUGCCAAUGUUAAACAGCUUCCACUUUAUCCAGAAUAAAUAUCAUUUGCUUGGACAAGUAGUAAAAAGAUAUUAGUGGAGCUUCAAAUGCCAAAGAUCCUGAGUUGGUGACACACAUAAAGUCUCACUCAAGGAUUGAUCAUUUUUUCCUGUAGCAUUUGUAAGAAGAAAGGUAAAGGUGGGAACUGUUGUAAGCAGCUCACAGGUGAUACCUACUGAGGUGUAGGCAGUGGAGCAAACUCAGGAAGAGUCAUGCAGUUGACUGGAGGCAAUCAACCUUGUACAACCUUCUUACUCUACAAACUAGUAGGCAAAAGACAAUCUCAGAAAAUGAACUAAGUACAGGAAUAGGCAAUCCAUAAAGUCACACAAAUGACCAAUGGACUUGUGAUAAAAUGGUUCACUUCAUUUGUCAGAUAAAUGCAAUUAAAGUACUGUAAGAUUUGUUUUUUGCACUGCACUCACGACUGGCAAAAAUGUAAGAUCAUCUGCAGUUGGUGGGGAAGGUAGUUUGGUAACAUCAAAAAUUUAAAAUUUAGCUUAUGCUUUGACCCAGA
rnacentral:lncRNA from 1 species